rnacentral:rRNA from 1 species
AUUGAACGCUGGCGGCAGGCCUAACACAUGCAAGUCGAACGCGUGGCGGACGGGUGAGUAAUGUCUGGGAAACUGCCUGAUGGAGGGGGAUACCUACUGGAAACGGUAGCUCAUACCGCAUACCAUCGGAUGUGCCCAGCUGGGAUUAGCUAGUAGGUGGGGUAAAGGCUCCCCUAGGCGACGAUCCCUCGCUGGUCUGAGAGGAGUACCAGCCAAACUGGAACUGUGAGACGGUCCAGACGCCUACGGUAGGCAGCAGUGGGGAAUAUUGCACAAUGGGCGCAAGCCUGAUGCAGCCAUGCCGCGUGUAUGAAGAAGGCCUUCGGGUUGUAAAGUACUUUCAGCGGGGAGGCGUUACCCGCAGAAGAAGCACCGGCUAACUCCGUGCCAGCAGCCGCGGUAAUUC